AGAGGACAGAGAAACUUCCACAGUGGGAAAGGACCCAAAGGGAUUGCCCUACUUACCCUCUUUAAGGCUGACACUCCUAAUCUGUAAAAUGGAAAUAAGAAUCAUAAAAUUGGCUCGUGUGUGUUGUGCACAUACUAUAUGCAGAUGAAGAAAUCAUCCACAAGGGGAGAAGUUCAGUAACUUUCUCAAGGUCACACAGCUAUUAUGUGAAGGGACUGGAAUAUGAAUCUCUGCAGUUUGACGCCAGAGUAUAGGCUCUUAGUCAGUCAUUGUGAUAUUUGUCUACAAAUCUUGAACAUGCAAAGUCCAUAGGAGACUGGAGUGCAGCGGCACCAUCACAGUUCACCAC